rnacentral:tRNA from 2 species
UUCCAUAUGAAUCAAUGGCUUAGCAUUUAUCCAGCCACCACCUUGACAUGGUGGGGGUCGUUGGUUCGAGUCCAAUUGUGCCUACCA